rnacentral:rRNA from 1 species
CCUACGGGAGGCAGCAGUGGGGGAUUUUGCACAAUGGGGGAAACCCUGAUCCAGCAACGCCGCGUGUGGGAAGAAGGUUUUCGGAUUGUAAACCUCUGUUCUUGGUGAAGAUAAUGACGGUAACCAAGGAGAAAGCUCGUGCUAAAUACGUGCCAGCAGCCGCGGUAAUACGUAGUGAGCAAGCGUUGUCCGGAUUUACUGGGUGUAAAGGGUGCGUAGGCGGUCUUGCAAGUCAGACGUGAAAACCACAGGCUCAACCUGGGGACGGCGUUGGAAACUGUGGGGCUUGAGUGCAGUAGAGGUAGGCGGAAUUCCCGGUGUAGCGGUGAAAUGCGUAGAGAUCGGGAGGAACACCAGUGGCGAAGGCGGCCGACUGGGCUUUAACUGACGCUGAGGCACGAAAGCAUGGGUAGCAAACAGGAUUAGAUACCCGAGUAGUC